AAUAUUGGACAAUGGGGGCAACCCUGAUCCAGCCAUGCCGCAUGUUUGAAGAAGGUCUUCGGAUUGUAAAGCACUUUAAGUUGGGAGGAAGGGCUUUUGGCUAAUACCCUGAAGUUUUGACGUUACCAACAGAAUAAGCACUGGCUAACUCUGUCCCAGCAGCCGCGGUAAUACAGAGGGUCCACGCGUUAAUCGGAAUUACUGGGCUUAAAGCGCGCGUAGGUGGUUCAGUAAGAUGGGUGUGAAAUUGCCGGGCUUAACCUGGGAACUGCUUUCAUAACUGCUGAGCUAGAGUACGGUAGAGGGUAGUGGAAUUUCCUGUGUAGCGGUGAAAUGCGUAGAUAUAGGAAGGAACACCAGUGGCGAAGGCGACUACCUGGACUGAUACUGACACUGAGGUGCGAAAGCGUGGGGAGCAAAC
rnacentral:rRNA from 1 species